rnacentral:rRNA from 1 species
AGAACUUAGCAGAGAUGCUUUGGUGCCUUCGGGAACUCUGAGACAGGUGCUGCAUGGCUGUCGUCAGCUCGUGUUGUGAAAUGUUGGGUUAAGUCCCGCAACGAGCGCAACCCUUUAUCCUUUGUUGCCAGCGGUUAGGCCGGGAACUCAAAGGAGACUGCCAGUGAUAAACUGGAGGAAGGUGGGGAUGACGUCAAGUCAUCAUGGCCCUUACGAGUAGGGCUACACACGUGCUACAAUGGCGCAUACAAGAGAAGCGACCUCGCGAGAGCAAGCGGACCUCAUAAAGUGCGUCGUAGUCCGGAUUGGAGUCUGCAACUCGACUCCAUGAAGUCGGAAUCGCUAGUAAUCGUGGAUCAGAAUGCCACGGUGAAUACGUUCCCGGGCCUUGUACACACCGCCCGUCACACCAUGGGAGUGGGUUGCAAAAGAAGUAGGUAGCUUAACCUUCGGGAGGGCGCUUACCACUUUGUGAUUCAUGACUGGGGUGAAGUCGUAACAAGGUAAGCGUAGUGCU